AGCCCAUGAUGAUAAAUCCUAAGGCUUGUUUCUCAAAACAUUCGCAGUGGCGGCCUAAGUGCUUUCACCGGGCUUGAGAGCAUAUGCUGCUUUUAUCCAUCCUUGGCUGUCUGAGCCC